rnacentral:rRNA from 2 species
CACACGACUCUCGGCAACGGAUAUCUCGGCUCUCGCAUCGAUGAAGAACGUAGCGAAAUGCGAUACCUGGUGUGAAUUGCAGAAUCCCGCGAACCAUCGAGUCUUUGAACGCAAGUUGCGCCCGAGGCCAUUCGGUUGAGGGCACGCCUGCCUGGGCGUCACG